AGUGAACGCUGGCGGUAUGCCUAACACAUGCAAGUCGAACGGAAGCACAGUAAGCUCUUGCUCUUACGGGUGGCGGGUGGCGGACGGGUAAGGCAUAGAUCGCAUACUACUUUUUCUUGGGUGAUAACGGAGGGACACUUCUGCUAAUACCGCAUACUUCCUACGGCUUGGAGCAGGGGUGCUUCGCGCUCUUGCCGACUCAUAUAGACGAUGUCGGAUUAGCUAGUUGGCGUGGUAAAGGCACACCAAGGCGACGAUACGUAGCUGGUCUGAGAGGAUGAUCAGCCACACUGGAACUGAGACACGGUCCAGACUCCUACGGGAGGCAGCAGUAGGGAAUAUUCGACAAUGGGCGAAAGCCUGAUCCAGCCACACCGCGUGGGUGAAGAAGGUCUUCGGGUUGUAAAGCCCUGUUGUUAGGAAAGAACAGCAGCAGGUUAAUACCCCGCUGUUCUGACGGUACCCAAAGAAUAAGCACCGGCUAACUUCGUG
rnacentral:rRNA from 1 species